AUGACAUACAGUAGGGAUGGACUUUUAGGCACCAAAAAAAUCGAAACUGAUGAAACCGAGGCUAUAGGUUCCGUAAGCCGCAAAGAACCGAGCAUUGCGGUGUCGAGAUGUUGCUUUUACAACGGGAACAUUAGCUUCCCCAAUCCGUAUAGCACAAGUGAUGACUGAUCAUCCGAUAGUUCAAUAGUAUGCUAUGCCCCAACCAUGAUUACCACCAAUGGUAUUUGGCAAGGAGAUAACCCUUUAGACUAUUCCCUCCCUCUCUUCAUCUUGCAGUUGACUCUGGUCGUCGUCACCACUCGUCUUCUCGUCCUCAUUUUCAAACCCUUCCGGCAACCUCGUGUCAUUGCAGAAAUCAUGGGUGGAGUGUUAUUAGGACCAUCGGUGCUUGGACAGUAUAAACCAUUUGCGGACACAAUAUUCCCCAUGAGAAGUGUGAUGGUGAUCGAGACCAUGGCAAACGUAGGUCUCCUCUACUUCCUCUUUCUCGUCGGCUUGGAGAUGGACAUUGCCGUUAUCCGCCGUAUGGGGAAAAGAGCAGUUAUCAUUGCCGUUGCCGGUAUGAUCCUCCCCUUCGCCAUUGGUGCCGCCUUCUCGUUCCUCAUCCACGAUAGAGGACAAUCAAUGAACCAAGGUACCUUCAUCCUCUUCCUUGGCGUUGCCCUCUCUGUCACCGCCUUCCCGGUCCUUGCUCGAGUCCUCGCCGAGCUCAAGCUCGUCAACACUGAGCUCGGCAGGAUCGCAUUGUCCUCGGCAUUGGUAAAUGAUAUGUGUACUUGGGCACUCUUAGCUCUGGCCAUUGCCCUAGCGGAAAAUGACUCCACUUCUUUGGCUUCCCUCUACGUCAUUUUGUCUAGCAUUGCCUUUGUUUGCUUUUGCAUAUUCGUUGUCCGACCUGCUGUGUGCUGGAUUAUCCGAAGAACUCCGGAAGGAGAAUCCUUCAGUGAGUUCUACAUUUGCCUCAUUCUCACCGGGGUCAUGAUCUCCGGAUUCGUUACUGAUGCCAUAGGAACACAUUCCGUUUUUGGGGCUUUCGUGUUUGGUUUAGUCAUCCCUAAUGGACCUCUUGGCGUUACUCUCAUCGAGAAGCUGGAAGAUUUUGUUUCGGGUCUCCUGCUUCCUCUUUUCUUUGCAAUUAGCGGACUUAGAACCAAUAUUACUACGAUCCAAGGAGUUGGAACUUGGGGCCUUCUUAUACUUGUUAUCUUUCUCGCUUGCAUCGGAAAAAUAGCCGGUACAGUCAUUGUCUGCCUCUUUUACCAGAUGCCAAUUGAUGAAGGAUUCACACUAGGAUUGCUUAUGAACACAAAAGGACUUGUCGAAUUGAUUGUCCUCAAUGUGGGUAAGGACCAGAAGGUUCUAGAUGACGAGGCCUUUGCAAUUAUGGUGAUUGUAGCUGUUGUUAUGACUGGAAUCAUUACACCAAUAGUAACAACAGUUUACAAGCCGGCGAGAAGGUCAAUACCUUACAAACGAAGAACAAUUCAAAGGUCAAAACCUGAUGCCGAGUUGCGAGUACUUGUUUGUGUCCACACGCCCCGAAAUGUGCCUACAAUGAUCAACCUAUUAGAAGCCUCUUACCCCACGAAGAGAUCUCCUUUGUGCGUCUAUGUACUACAUUUGGUUGAGCUCAGUGGUCGUGCAUCUGCAAUGCUCAUUGUUCAUAACACUCGGAAAUCCGGUAGGCCAGCGCUAAAUAGAACACAAGCUCAAUCUGACCAUAUCAUCAAUGCGUUCGAGAACUACGAGCAACAUGCCGGUUGUGUCUCGGUGCAGCCCUUGACUGCAAUCUCACCAUACUCUACAAUGCACGAAGACAUUUGCAACUUGGCAGAGGACAAACGUGUUGCCUUUCUCAUUAUUCCUUUCCACAAACAGCAAACGGUUGAUGGUGGAAUGGAAGCCAUGAACCCGGCUUUUCGAACAAUGAACCAAAAUGUAUUAGCAAAUGCGCCAUGCUCAGUCGGAAUUCUAGUCGAUAGAGGUCUCAAUACCUCCAAUCGCCUGACUACAAACCAUGUAUCUCACAAUAUAGUGGUACUUUUCUUCGGUGGACCGGAUGACAGAGAGGCGUUGUCAUAUGCAUGGAGGAUGUCUGAACAUCCAGGAAUAAGCCUUACACUUAUUCGUUUCAUUCCUGGGCCGGAUGUGGCGGAGCCGGUAGGGGUAGUGAAACCCGAUCUUGAUGCUGCAAACAACAACAACAAUUCAAAGAUAUUGUGUGUCGAAACGGACGAGGGGUGGGAGAAGCAACUGGACGAGAAGUUGAUAAAAGAGUUUAGGGUGCAACAUAUGAACGACGAAUCAAUUGUGUACGUGGAGAAGGUGGUGAACAAUGGGGAGGAGACGGUGGCGGAGGUAAGGGCGAUGGACAACGUUCAUGACCUAUUUAUAGUCGGCAGAGGACAAGGCAUGAUCUCGCCGUUGACAGCCGGACUAACGGAUUGGAGUGAGUGCCCGGAACUCGGUGCUAUUGGGGAUUUGCUUGCGUCUUCCGACUUCGCAACAACUGCAUCGGUUUUGGUAGUGCAACAAUUCGUUGGUGAUGAAGGGAGUGUAGCACACGAUCACGAGCUCGAUCAUGAUCACAAUCACGAUGGGGGACUCGGAACACCACAACCGGUGGCACUCAGCCCAGCUGGAGGUGAUCAAUUCGGCAGCAUGCAUCAAAAUGGGAACAAGAGGACUCAACCACCAAUUAGGGCACAUAAUAGUAACCCUAACGUAUUCAGCGCCUAA